rnacentral:rRNA from 1 species
UGGCUCAGGACGAACGCUGGMGGCGUGCSUAACACAYGCAAGUCGARCGGAGAAUCAKCAAUGWUUCUUAGUGGCGAACGGGUGAGUAACGCGUAGACAACCUGCCUUCUAGAUGGGGACAACACUGCGAAAGUGGUGCUAAUACCGAAUGUUGUAAUGAGCCUGCAUGGGCUUGAUACUAAAGGUGGCCUCUAUAUAUAAGCUAYCACUAGAAKAUGGGUCUGCGUCUGAUUAKCUAGUUGGUGAGGUAAUGGCUCACCAAGGCKAUGAUCAGUAGCCGGUCUGAGARGAUGAACGGCCACACUGGGACUGASACACGGCMCASACUCCUACGGGAGGCAGCAGUGGGGAAUCUUCCRCARUGGACGAAAGUCUGACRGAGCAACSCCGCGUGAGUGAAGAAGGUUYUCRGAUCGWAAAGCUCUGUCUUUGARGACRAAUGUGUWUAAUGURAAUARUGUUAWAUAAUGACGGCUCUAGAGGARGAAGCCACGGCUAACUACGUGCCAACAGCCGCGGUAAUACAUAAGUGGCAAGCGUUGUCCGGAAUUAUUGGGCGUAAAGCGCGCGCACGCGGGAUAUUAACUCUGUUAUAAAAGUUCGGCGCUCAACCCCGUGAUGGAAUGGAAACUAAUAUUCUUGAGUGCAAGAGAC